AGGAUGAACGCUGGCGGCGUGCCUAAUACAUGCAAGUCGAGCGAACGGACGAGAGUGCUUGCACUCUCUGAUGUUAGCGGCGGACGGGUGAGUAACACGUGGGUAACCUACCUAUAAGACUGGGAUAACUUCGGGAAACCGGAGCUAAUACCGGAUAAUAUUUAGCUUCGCAUGAAGCAAUAGUGAAAGACGGUUCUGCUGUCACUUAUAGAUGGACCCGCGGUGUAUUAGCUAGUUGGUGAGGUAACGGCUCACCAAGGCAACGAUACAUAGCCGACCUGAGAG
rnacentral:rRNA from 1 species